UACAGAGGGUGCAAGCGUUGUUCGGAAUUAUUGGGCGUAAAGCGCGUGUAGGCGGCUUUGCAAGUCGGGUGUGAAAGCCCUCAGCUUAACUGAGGAAGUGCGCCCGAAACUGCUUAGCUUGAGUGCCGGAGAGGAUGGCGGAAUUCCCCAAGUAGAGGUGAAAUUCGUAGAUAUGGGGAGGAACACCGGUGGCGAAGGCGGCCAUCUGGACAGUAACUGACGCUGAGACGCGAAAAGCGUGGGUAGCAAACGAGGA
rnacentral:rRNA from 1 species